rnacentral:SRP_RNA from 1 species
CGAUUGGGUCUUACGCAACGAAGCGUUGUGAAUUCCGUCAGAUCCGGAAGGAAGCAGCGGUAAGCAAAUGUCUUCGUGUGCCGUAAGGUUGCCUGGUUCGAGC